AGCAACGCCGCGUGAGUGAUGAAGGUUUUCGGAUCGUAAAGCUCUGUUGUUAGGGAAGAACAAGUGCAAGAGUAACUGCUUGCACCUUGACGGUACCUAACCAGAAAGCCACGGCUAACUACGUGCCAGCAGCCGCGGUAAUACGUAGGUGGCAAGCGUUGUCCGGAAUUAUUGGGCGUAAAGGGCUCGCAGGCGGUUUCUUAAGUCUGAUGUGAAAGCCCCCGGCUCAACCGGGGAGGGUCAUUGGAAACUGGGAAACUUGAGUGCAGAAGAGGAGAGUGGAAUUCCACGUGUAGCGGUGAAAUGCGUAGAGAUGUGGAGGAACACCAGUGGCGAAGGCGACUCUCUGGUCUGUAACUGACGCUGAGGAGCGAAAGCGUGGGGAGCGAACAGGAUUAGAUACCCUGGUAGUCCACGCCGUAAACGAUGAGUGCUAAGUGUUAGGGGGUUUCCGCCCCUUAGUGCUGCAGCUAACGCAUUAAGCACUCCGCCUGGGGGAGUACGGUCGCAAGACUGAAACUCAAAGGAAUUGACGGGGGCCCGCACAAGCGGUGGAGCAUGUGGUUUAAUUCGAAGCAGCGCGAAGAACCUUACCAGGUCUUGACAUCCUCUGACAACCCUAGAG
rnacentral:rRNA from 1 species